AGCUCAGUUGGAAAAGCAGAGACUGAAAA
rnacentral:tRNA from 1 species